GCCGCCUGGGCGCCGAAAGCUGCUUCCUACUCCCAGUGCUGAGCGGGCCCCCGCUACUGGCUACUGAGCAUGCCCAGCGCAGCGACGGGAGCCAGAGGAUAGGAGAGGACUUGAAGCUGCGGUUAGGCACUGAUUUCCCUUCCUAGGGGCCUAGCGUGAAAUGGAAAGGAACUAGUCAAGAGAAAGGAGGGCCCUCUAAAAAUAGUGUUCACACUGGGAACAUUGCAGGGACAGAGCACGAUUUGAAUGAACCACCACCAUAGAAUAAAAGCACAUAUGCUAGAGAAGCCUGAAAGGUGGUAAACUACCCAAAAACAGCACAAAAGAGGAAAUACAUGCUCCCAGACAGGGUGGACAAGGAGCCCUAAGAAAAGUUUAGGACAGAGACCUACAGAGGAAGACCAUGUGAAGAUACAGGAAAAAGAUGGCCAUCUGCAAGCUGAGGAGAGAGGCCUGAGAAGAAACCAAUCCUGCCAAUACUUCAGUCUGAGA